GUCAAAAGUGCGAGGCCCAGUCAGAAAUGACUUUUUUCAGCCCUCUGAGUAGUCCCUAUGCACAUAGCCACGCCCACCCGGUCACAUGACGAGCUAGCCACGCCUACACAGUCACGUGACCAGCUAGCCACGCCCACCCAGUCACAUGGUUGCCAAGCCACACCCCCAACUAAGCCACGCCCACAGAACCUGUUGUUAAAAAAAUUGAAUCCCACCACUGAUCUCAACCACUUUUUUUUAUAUUGUGGUGACAAAAAUUGGGUGCAAUAUUUCAAAUAUGGUCUUACCAAGACAUUAUAAAGCAGUACCAACACUUCACAUAAUCUUAAUUCUAUCUGUUAAGCCAGCAAUGCUUUUUUGGCACUGCUGGCUCAUAUUUAAAUGAUUGUCCAUUAGGACUCCAAGAUUCCUCUUGCAAGUUACUACUAUUGAGCCAGUUUCCACCUAUUCCAUACCUGUAUAUUGCCUAAGUGUAAAACCUUAUUUUUCUCACUAUUGAAUUUCAUUUUAUUAGAUAGCACCCAUUAUUUAACUCUGUCAAGGUCCUUCUGGAUCUUGGGCCUAUCUUCUAGGGCGUUAGCUAUUUCUCCCAGUUCAGUGUCAUUUGUAAAUUUGAUGAGUUUCCCUUCUAUUCCCUCAUCUAAAUUGUUUCUAAAUCUGUUCCCUCAUCUUUUAUGAACAGAAUCUUGGGGUACCCUACUGCUUCCUUCCUUCCAUGUAGAUGUAGUUCCUUUAAGGACUACACGUUGGUUUGUCAACCAAUGCCUAUUCCACAUUUUUCUAAUUUACCAAGAAGUAGGCUGUGGUCUACUUUGUCAAAUACUUUUCUGAAAUCCAAGUAUACUAUAUAACUUGGCAGGUUAGAUCUAGCCAUUAUGGUGACAGUUGUAAAAUUUUUGGUGUAAAAAAAUUCACUUGAUCUGGGACAUCUCUACAAUUAUUUUGCAUUGCUGAGAAAAGCAAUUGAGAAAGGGUGGUAGCCCAUGUCAUCAGACAUAUUUGAAUGAUACUGAUUUUUUACAAUCUAUUUCAGUUGGUCUUUCAGGAUACGUUGCUCAAAUUUCUUUUUUAUCAACUUGUUGCAUGACAUGUGAUAGAAAUUAGAAAAGUAAAGUGCAGCUUUCACCUAGUUUCCUCAGAACUGCCUGGUAGCAUUAGGCCUUAGGGGUCUUGUUUCACAAUAAUUAUGGUGCUUUCUGUUGGGUAUGUCCAGAAGAUGGUGCUAUGAGAUUAAUGUUUAACAUAUUGGCAUCGCUGACCUAUAGUUCGUGUUGUCCCCCAUGCUGUUUAACACCUAUAUGAAAUUACUGAGCAAGUCAUUCAAAUAAUAUCCCAUUUUGGAGUGGGAUAUUAUCAAUUUGCUACUAAAACCUGGCUGCCAAAAAUCCCAAUAAAAUCAAGAUCACAAGAAGUGGUAGUACUACUUUAUAUGGCUUUAAUGAGGUCACACUUGUAAUAUUGUGUCUGGUUCUGGUUACUAUGAUACCAAAAAAAAAAAAAAAGAUGUUCACACCCUAGAAGGAGUGCAGUGCAUAAAACAGCAACUAAGGUGAUAAAGAGGUCUGGAGGCUAAACCAUAUAUGUAUAUGUCUAGCUUAUCAAACAGUAAAACAGUGACCUGAUAGGUGUCUUUUAACAUUUGAGGGGCUUUCAUAAAGAAGAGGGGUAAACUUCUUCUCCAAAGUCCUUGAGGGCAGGACAAAACUUGAUAAGUGGAAACUAAAGAGAUCCAACCUAGAACCAAGGAGAAAUUUCCUGACAAUGAGCACAAUUAAUCAAGAGAAGAGCUUGCCUCCCAAAGUUGUGGCUGCUCCAAUGCUGGAAGUUUUCAAGAGCAGACAGGACAACCAUUUUACUGUGGUGCUAUUCAGUCUCCUGGUACUGAGCAGGGGUUUGAACUAGAAGAUCUCCAAGGUCCCUUCCAGUCCUAUGAUUCGAUUGUAUGAUUUACUGCUCCUAACUAUCCAAUUCCAAGGAAGCAAUCAGUACUUUUGAAUGUUUCCUAAAUUCAGUAAUGAAAGAAGAAAGAAAGAAACAUAGUAUAAACUGUCAAUGGAAAUGUUUUACCAUUGCCUUUUUCCUAGGGCUGAGAGGGAGGGAGUAACACAUCAGGUGGCCUUGUACCUAAAAUGGGACUAGAACUCACAAUAUCCCAGUUAUAGUAGAAUUACAGACAAUCCUCAAUUUAUAACAGUUCAUUUAGUGACUGUUAGAAAUUACAACGUACUUUGAGCACUGAAAAGAGUGAUUUAUGACCAUUUUUCACACUUAUGACCAUUGCAACAUCUCCAUGAUCACAUGAUCAAAUUCAAAGACUUGGCAACUGACUCAUAUUUAUGAUGGUAGAAGUGUCCAAGGGUCAUGCAACCUCCUGACAAGCAAAGUUAAUGGGGAAGCCAGAUUCACUUAACAACUGUGUUACUAACUUAACAAAUGCAGUGAUUCACUUAACAACUGUAGUAAGAAAUGUCAUAAAAUGGAGCAAAAUUCACUUAACUGUCUCACUUAGCAACAUAAAUUUUGAGCGCAGUUGUCAUAAGUUGAGGACUACCUGUAUUUUAUGCUUUUUUUUACAACUUAGUGAUAAAUAGAUUAUGCCUUUUUUCUGUUCCUGUUGGCUCAAGAUGGCCAAUAAAAUCCACCAUUUUCAAGCAUACUAUCUCUGUGGAUUUAUCAUUUUAUUCCUAAUGCUUCUCAUCUGCUACCCAGUAAAGGUCACACAAAUAUUAAUGCAAUUCUGAAGCAAGAGGACCAAAAAGCUUAGCUUUCAACAUAACUAGUGCUCAUGAAAAUUGCAAAAAACCAGUGGCCUGUAUCUUUUCAGAGAAUGAUUUCAUAAUGAAUAUACCAAGUGAAAGAAAAAUGUCUCAUGGAUAAACAACACACAGAAAACCAAUGGAUGAGUAAAAUGAGAUAGUGUAAAGAGGAGCUGGUAUUCCUCGUUCUUGUGUUAUAAAAUGAAUUGGAAGUAAAUAAUGUUUAAAAGGGGUAGAAACACAUGAAUGUAAGUUUAAAUCUAUUUCUUUUGAAUCUGGAUAGUUCUUUUUCCAAAACAGAACUAAAUAGUUCUUUUUUCCAGAAAAGAAAUUAUCAGAAGCAGAAGCAGUUCUAAAGAGGUAAGAAGAUGGAGUAUCCAUCUUACAGUAAGUUCAGAAUAAGCGAAGUACCAACUGCUAGAAGAAAUGGAUUCAGUUUGGUGAGCAGGGAUGGAGAAGAUUCCUGUGGCUUACAGCUUAUAGCCACAGGUGCAAAGAGUGGCUUCUCUAACAAGGGACAUUACUCUAUUGGAACAGACUCAGUUUAGAGGAGGAAGAGGGGCUCAGCUAGCACCAUUAGUACCAGCAAUGUCAGAGGAAGAGGAAAAAAUCUCCACAUUUGAAACCUAAUUUAGCCUUUAUCCUGACGGAGAGAAAGUCCAACCUUCUUGUCAUUACAGGCUCUCUAAGGUUGGCCUUGUUCAAGCACUCUGGUCAGCAAUGUAUUUGAUGUCACAAAGCAAAGACUCUGACACCACUAGCAUUGUCUCCCUCUAUCUGUCUGUCUUAUAACUCCAGUGGUUUCUCCAGUACUACUUAUGAGCCAGAGUGGCACAGUGGCUAGACUGCAGUAUUGCAGGAUAUUUCUGCUGAUUGUCAACUGCCUGCAAUUUGGCAGUUCAAAUCUCAUCAAGUUUAAGGUUGACUCAGCCUUCCAUCCUUCCAAGAUCUGCAGCUGCUGGCUCUGGUUGCUUAGCCAACACUCCUGAGUCCUGCAGUCCAUUUUUUACCAUAUAUCCAGGAACUCCAACAUCUAAUAUGGACCUUGUUAACCCAGGUGACAUCUGAACUGGACAUGUAGUAAAUUAUGGUGUAACUGAAUGAAGAUUUUUGUGGUCAGCUGGAGGAAGAGAACUGAUUUAUUCAUGAUGUUCCUUGUGAUAUACUCAUUCUAAGUGUGCUUGAUGUGGUUGGUUUGAAGGAUGCCCAGAUAUUUGCAGUGAUCAUCUUCAUCCAGACUCUUGAUGUUACAGGAAAGGAAAAAACUUUUCCUAAGAGAUAAAAGAAGACACUCACUACAACAGUUCACUCUACUGGAGGUCCACUCCCUAAAGAAAAAGAUGGUAAGAAAGCUUGAGGUGUGCCAGAGUUUCAGAAGAUUCCUUAAUAGAUUGGCCAAUAUGAAGCCAAUGAUGCCAACAGAAGUUGGCAGCACCAGCUAGGAAAUCACCUUUAAUCAAAUGUUUGUAUUUUUCUUACUGGA